GGCCGAUUGAGGAAGGCAAUGGACCUGGCUUAAACGGAUUUGCAGCAAUUUCCAAUCGAGUCAACUCGGUAAGAUUCGUCAAGAACUCAGGAAUUGAACCAUUGAGGAGAUUGUUAGCUAUAUUUAGCACUUGUAAUUUGGGUAAACGGCCUAAACUCGCCGGGAUUUCACCGGAGAAAUUGUUUGAAUUAGCAUCAAGGACGGUCAAGUU
rnacentral:misc_RNA from 1 species